UACGAAGGGGGCUAGCGUUGCUCGGAAUGACUGGGCGUAAAGGGCGCGUAGGCGGAUGGCACAGUCAGAUGUGAAAUUCCCGGGCUUAACCUGGGGGCUGCAUUUGAUACGUGUUGUCUUGAGUUCGGAAGAGGGUCGUGGAAUUCCCAGUGUAGAGGUGAAAUUCGUAGAUAUUCGCAAGAACACCAGUGGCGAAGGCGGCUCACUGGCCCGGUACUGACGCUGAGGUGCGAAAGCGUGGGGAGCAAACAGG
rnacentral:rRNA from 1 species